ACGUAACCGAGACGAUCUCCCAAGUUCCGUCGAGAUCCCAUUCCCCACGACAUCAAAUUACCGCGAGAUGCCCUGCCUCGAUCUGCAUGCAGUGUGGAUCCCGCAAGAUUUCAUUCAGCAAUUCCCAUCCCCCACGCAACACGCGCUGCAUCGCGCCGACGCCAUUGCUACCCGCUGACUUCUUUGCUGUAAUUUUAGGGAGAAGACGUUUGCCGUCAGUGUAACCAAGGUAAGAAUUACAAUUUCAAAACUGAAAAUGUAGAGCAUGUAAUUACAUUGUUUACAAACCAUGAUGUUAACCGAAACAUAGUUUGGCUUUUGUCACGUUAGAAUUUAAACUUCAUACUCAGAUCGCACCAUAUUUUUCCUCUUAUUUCUGGCGCCAAUGUCUAACGUUAAGCGAUAAUGCUGAAUUGGUGUUCCCUAAAUCUGCAACAGUUUGCAUUCAGGUGUUAUUACAAAUCAUACAAAUUGUUAUGACUAUACAAAUGUUUUUGCCUAAAUUAGAAUUUUAAUUUUUUUUUAAAGUAAUAAGCAUUUUUCUUACAGAAAGUAAUCGGACGUUCUUGGAUGUUGAUGCAGUGGAACAGAAAUUGGCAGACCCCACCUUCCAGAAACAAGUGGUUGCUUUGGUGGCAGAAAUUGGAGGCAGUACUGUGGAUGAAGCAACGAGAAGAAUGAGGGCCUUCCUUUUGGACCACCCCUUAUCAAGAGUUCAAUUUUGUUGGCCGGCAUGGAAAGUGAGAGUUUCGGGGGCUCAAACUGCUUGAGGUUGUAUAAGGAAGCUUGAAAAAAAUUAUCUUAACCAAAUUACCAGAAAAGAGGCAGAAAAGUCAGUGUAAAAGUGGCUAAUCAGUGACGGGAGGAAACCGUUCUGCGAAGUCACAUAGUAGAGAGCAAGAUAGGGCUGUUGGGAGAGCGAGGACAGAGGUGUGAGGAGCUGCACGGUUGGUUUGUUUGUUUGUGAAAUGUAUUUUAGAGUUUUCAGAUAUGUAUAUUUGGCAGGAGCUUCACUUUAACUUUUUUUUAAGAUGCUUGUUUUAUAAAGUUGUAAAUACACAAGUUAUAAUGGUCAUGUUCAAAUUAUUCCAACGAAACCUUGUUUAAAGCAUGCAGAAUACAAGUAUUUUUUUUUACAAGAAAUAAAGUUUUUCAGGAGCUUAAAAUUAAC